rnacentral:rRNA from 1 species
UACAGAGGGUGCGAGCGUUAAUCGGAAUUACUGGGCGUAAAGGGUGAGUAGGUGGUAGAUUAAGUUAUGUGUGAAAUUUCCGAGCUUAACUUGGGAAGUGCGCAUAAUACUGAUUUACUAGAGUACUGUAGAGGGUGGUGGAAUUUCCAGUGUAGCGGUGAAAUGCGUAGAUAUUGGAAGGAACACCAGUGGCGAAGGCGACCACCUGGAUAGAUACUGACACUAAUACACGAAAGCGUGGGUAGCGAACAGG